GUGGGAAGCCAGGGCUGCCAGGCUUGACUGCUCUAAGCCACCAACUUGAGCAGUGCGCUACAUAAGGAGCCCCAGCUCCUCACCAGCAAGUACCAGGGAUCCAACAGGUGAAGAAAAACUGACUCA